GACGAACGCUGGCGGCGUGCUUAACACAUGCAAGUCGAACGGAAAGGCCCUGCUUUUGUGGGGUGCUCGAGUGGCGAACGGGUGAGUAACACGUGAGUAACCUGCCCUUGACUUUGGGAUAACUUCAGGAAACUGGGGCUAAUACCGGAUAGUAGCUCCUGCUGCUUGUUGGGGGUUGGAAAUUUUCGGCGGUUGGGGAUGGACUCGCGGCUUAUGAGCUUGUUGGUGUGGUAGUGGCUUACCAAGGCUUUGACGGGUAGCCGGCCUGAGAGGGUGACCGGCCACAUUGGGACUGAGAUACGGCCCAGACUCCUACGGGAGGCAGCAGUGGGGAAUAUUGCACAAUGGGCGGAAGCCUGAUGCAGCAACGCCGCGUGCGGGAUGACGGCCUUCGGGUUGUAAACCGCUUUCGCCUGUGACGAAGCGUGAGUGACGGUAAUGGGUAAAGAAGCACCGGCUAACUACGUG
rnacentral:rRNA from 1 species